GGUGGCUCAGAGGUAAAGCGCUUGCCUUGCAUGCAUGAGACCCUGGGUUCGAUUCCUCAGCACCA
rnacentral:tRNA from 1 species